CUCAAGACUUUUGCGGUAUAUUGACAAAUUUCUGAUUUGAACAAGCUCUUCUCUCGACACAGAUAACAGACUGUUACCUGGAAACAUGUCGAUAUGCUGAUGCAAAAAAGUGUUUGAAUAAAAUACUCAAAAAAGAAAUCAAAGAGAAGGAGAAAUUUGCACGCGUCCUAACCUACAAAGCAUGGUACGAGCAGCAACUAGGAAAGUGUGACAAAGCUGUCAAACUUUACAGGAAGGCUGCCAGUUACACCGAGGACAACCUUCGAAAAGCAAAGAAAAACCUUUUAAAGGUUUCGGUAUGAUGGAAAUGUUAUUUUCAAAAGAUCAUCCAUGGCUUGUAGAAACGUAUGAGCUGCUCUAUGAAUUGCAUAUGAAAGAUGGCGAGCAGAAAGAGGCGGAAAAUUAUAAAGCGAGAAUCACAUCCAUUUUCAUUUUGUACUGCCUAUAAGGUUUAUGAAAAUAUGUAUUGAAUGGUGGAAGUUAUUGACUAAUAUUUAAAAAUAUGGAUAUUAAAUAUGAUAUUAUUACUUGAUUCCCCUGCGUACCGUGAAUGCAUGUGCGCACGAGAGAGUAUAAUUCACGACGAUAAACGACGACAAUGCACAAUUAAAGUUAAAUCAGCUUUACUUUUUUUCCCUUCCCCUUACAACAGUCCACUUUUAUUGUCGCGCCAAAAGUACGGUUGCUAUGCUAAGUUCAUAUAUCAUCCAAUGAAAUUGCAACGUAAGUAUGACAGCCAUUAUGAUUGGAUGAUGUUAAAAGUUGGUGUUGUUUACCUCAUAAUUCUAAACAUUGUUCAUUUGUUUGUAUCGAAUAUUUUAGUUUUUGCUGUCAGUGAUCAACUAAAUAUACUUACGUACGUCAAGUGCCAUGAUGGCUUAGUUUCUUUAAUUAUAAUAUGAAACCCAA